ensembl:lncRNA uncharacterized LOC110087234
UGGUGUAGCCAGCCAUAACGAUUAGGAUUAGUACAAAUGAUUAGGAGGAAAUAAAUUGGUACUGCUAAAAGUUCUUGGGAUGUUUGUCCUGGGAUAUAAACCAUGUGACCACGAUUCAGUACAACAGACAUAUAAAAAGUAUUGGAAGAACUAGAAAACAUUUCUCUUGUGUGACCAGGGCCUUACCCAAAGAGGCAGGCAUGCUCGGGCAGGGAGGGCGAGUGAGGGGACAGGGUGGCAAGGGGCAGGAUGGCAGAGAAGGCGAUCAGGCAGGGAGCCAUUUAUGGCGGGAGAACAAGGCACAUGGGGGGGGGCAAUUCGAGGCAUAAGACCACAAUUCAGCCCCGAGCUAAAAUAAACAAGCCUGCCAGGAGGAGUUUCAAGAGUGGUUCCCCUAAUGAUGGAAUUUGAAGCUGAACGCUUGAAGAGAAAAUUGAAAUCUCGUCCCCUCCUCACUGCACACCAUGUAAAUUCUCCACUUGCUUACAUGUAGGGAAUAGAGAAGAGAGCUGGGUCGAUGAUAUUCUAGUGGCCUGAAGCAAAGCAUCUGCAUGAACCAGCUGGAAAUGAGUCCUUCAAGAUGGGAGCUGCUUGAUUUCCAAGCCAAGAGCCUGGAGCAUAUGGAGCAGUUGUCAAGUGAGGGGUUUAGUUCCCCAAACUAGUAUCACAUGAAGAACUAAAGGCCACACCUCAGGGCAGCGGCACUUGAAUCCAGCAAGAGAUCAUCAAUACACAACAAAAGAGCAACCUGUUUGACAACGGAAAACCAAGACCAGAGAAGAGGAUGUCAUCAGUGCAGCAGGUGACACAAGGGGCCUCAUAGGAAGUCAUAUGGAAGCAGAUACUAAAGACACCAAGACAGAAAUCAAGGCAACAACAGACUGUGAAGCAGCACAAGAGGAAGAUUGCUCAGUCUGAAUUUCCACGACUGAUGGGCCAGGUUGAAACUCUUGUCCAGUGUGGAGAAGACUGCCUACGUGGGAAGAACACCUCUGACAGCAAAGUGGUUUUGACAAACAUGAAGGUAAUAAGCAAUGAAAAAAGUGAAGGACUAGGGCAAUGUCCUCCCACCACUUCGGAGUCUCCAGCAAAACCUGGACCUUCUGAAUCUAGCACCCUGUUAGAUAUUCAGGCUACACCACAAACUCCAGAAGAAACUGAACACUUUGCCACAUGCUCUGGCAUGCCCACAAUAGCACUGAAAGAUCAGGUUCCAAGAUUAGACAAAUAUGAAUCAGAAGACUCUGCCGUGGUGUUGCCAGAAGGAGCCAACUUGCCAUCUACACUCCUGGGCUCUGGAAAGAACUUUGUUCUCCACAGCAGAGAUUCUUCUUGUGACUCUGGAGUUCUGAGUGCCUCAUCCUCUCCAGCAGCUGACCAUAUAAAAAUGGGCAAAGACCCUGUAGAAGCACGUCACUACGUUUCAGAUUGCAAGGAGCCAGCGGAGCUCUGCACGGGGCACUUUGGUGCAUUACAGAUGUCCGCCCUUUCCUUAGAUGAGGACACAGAUUGUCGAGAGGCAAAACAUUCUGAACAAUCUUUUUUUGGUGGCAGCCAAGGAGAAUGUUCACAGGACAAAAUCAGUGAAGAAGAGAUCCAUCCUUCUUGCUUUUCUACUUUGCCUGUAGAAGAGAAAAGCCUCCGUGACAAUUACAGAAACAACAGCUUGGAAGAACUGCCACUGCAAGGGCAUCCUUUAAGAAAGCAUUCCACAAGUGACAGCUUAGAUGAAUACAUGGAUGCAUGUUGUAGGCUGAGUAAGGUGAAUGAGGGGAAUACCAAAACCUACAGUUCCGGCCUAGGUUAUCUAGAGCAUAUCUGCCAACUUAUUGAAAAAAUUGGGCAGCUACAAGAACAAAAUCUGAAAUUACAGAAGGAAAUCUGCAGUUUACAAAAAGAGCAGAAAACAAACCAGCUCAAAGAGGAGUAUUUUCUACAGCAUUGCUCAUGCGGUGCUGCCAGCUUUUUGCUCAGCUCUUACCAAGAAGCCAAGAAUUCUUUUCCUGGGUGGAACACCAGACCACACAGCCUAUUGGCUCAGAAUGGAAUCAUAUCUGACCUCUCAGUUAUUCCAGAAACAGGAGGAAACAAUGAAAGAUCAAGCAAAAGUAAGGUUCCUUUUUUUCUGUGCUUUAUGCUUGCUAUGAAAUAA